rnacentral:rRNA from 1 species
CCUACGGGUGGCAGCAGUGGGGAAUAUUGCGCAAUGGGCGAAAGCCUGACGCAGCGACGCCGCGUGCGGGAUGAAGGUCUUCGGAUCGUAAACCUCUGUCAGCAGGGAAGAACGGUCACUGUGCUAAUCAGCAGUGAAUUGACGGUACCUGCAAAGGAAGCACCGGCUAACUCCGUGACAGAAGCCGCGGUAAUACGGAGGGUGCGAGCGUUAAUCGGAAUUACUGGGCGUAAAGGGCGCGUAGGCGGUAUGUCAAGUCAAGGGUGAAAUCCCCGGGCUCAACGUGGGAACUGCCUUUGAAACUGGCAGACUGGAGUGUGUGAGAGGAUAGUGGAAUGCCAGGUGUAGGAGUGAAAUGCGUAGAUAUCUGGCGGAACAUCAGUGGCGAAGGCGACUAUCUGGAACAUAACUGACGCUGAGGAGCGAAAGCGUGGGUAGCAAACAGGAUUAGAUACCCGUGUAGUC